rnacentral:rRNA from 1 species
AACGAACGCUGGCGGCAGGCUUAAAACAUGCAAGUCGAGCGCCCCGCAAGGGGAGCGGCAGACGGGUGAGUAACGCGUGGGAAUCUACCCAUCUCUACGGAAUAACGCAUGGAAACGUGUGCUGAUACCGUAUACGUCCUUCGGGAGACAGAUUUAUCGGAGAUGGAUGAGCCCGCGUUGGAUUAGAUAGUUGGUGGGGUAAAGGCCUACCAAGGCGACGAUCCAUAGCUGGUCUGAGAGGAUGAUCAGCCACACUGGGACUGAGACACGGCCCAGACUCCUACGGGAGGCAGCAGUGGGGAAUAUUGGACAAUGGGCGCAAGCCUGAUCCAGCCAUGCCGCGUGAGUGAUGAAGGCCCUAGGGUUGUAAAGCUCUUUCACCGGUGAAGAUAAUGACGGUAACCGGAGAAGAAGCCCCGGCUAACUUCGUGCCAGCAGCCGCCGUAA